CUGCCAGGAAUACAGCAGAUGGCUGGCCAGA
rnacentral:piRNA from 1 species